rnacentral:rRNA from 1 species
UUCCGGUUGAUCCUGCCGGACCUGACUGCUAUCGGAUUGGUACUAAGCCAUGUGAGUCGUUGUAGCAAUACAAGGCAUACGGCUCAGUAACACGUAGUCAAUCUAACCUAUGGACGGGGAUAACCUCGGGAAACUGAGGAUAAACCCCGAUAGAUCAUAAUGCCUGGAACGGUUUAUGGUUCAAAUGAUUCGUCGCCGUAGGGUGGGACUGCGGCCUAUCAGCUUGUUGGUGAGGUAAUGGCCCACCAAGGCUAUUACAGGUACGGGCUCUGAGAGGAGUAGCCCGGAGAUGGGUACUGAGACACGGACCCAGGCCCUAUGGGGCGCAGCAGGCGAGAAACCUUUGCAAUGUGCGCAAGCACGACAAGGUUAAUCCGAGUGUUUCCUGUUAAAGGAAUCUUUUGUUAGUCGUAAAAUCACUAUUGAAUAAGGGGUGGGCAAGUUCUGGUGUCAGCCGCCGCGGUAAAACCAGCACCUCAAGUGGUCAGGAUGAUUAUUGGGCCUAAAGCAUCCGUAGCCUGUUCUGAAAGUUUCCGGUUAAAUCCAUUAACUCAACUAAUGGGCCGCCGAAAAUACUGCAGAACUAGGGAGUGGGAGAGGUAGACGGUGCUCGGUAGGAAGGGGUAAAAUCCUUUGAUCUAUCGAUGACCACCUGUGGCGAAGGCGGUCUACCAGAACACGUUCGACGGUGAGGGAUGAAAGCUGGGGGAGCAAACCGGAUUAGAUACCCGGGUAGUCCCAGCUGUAAACGAUGCAAACUCGGUGAUGCGCUGGCUUGUGGCCAGUGCAGUGCCGCAGGG